rnacentral:misc_RNA from 1 species
GGAAAAUUUACAACUCUUUUAUAGUUUUAUCUCCAGUAGUGUGCCCUCCUAUGCUUCUCAAGUAAACCUCCAAUCAAAAAUAAUGAUCCUGCUUUUAUAAAUAGGCAUACUUUGGAAAUUUACAGAAGAAAUCAAUUAAUAAGACAUAAUAUUGGGAUUUGGCAGUCAAGACAUGGACUAAAUGACAGUAUAUUUAACAGAAAAUUAGAAGAAAGAAACCCACUAAUGAGUUUCUGAGAGAGAUAAGAUUAGAAAAACAGUA